GAUGAACGCUGACAGAAUGCUUAACACAUGCAAGUCGAUUCGAUUUACCUUCGGGUAUUGAGGAUGGCGGACGGGUGAGUAACGCGUAUCCAACAUACCCAUAAGAGGGGGAUAACCAGUUGAAAAACUAGCUAAUACCCCAUAGCAUAUUUUUACAUAAGUAUUAAUAUUUAAAGUUGCGUUUGCAACACUUUUGGAUUGGGGUGCGACGUAUUAGAUAGUUGGUGAGGUAAUGGCUCACCAAGUCGAUGAUGCGUAGCUGUGCCGAGAGGCAGAACAGCCACAAUGGGACUGAGACACGGCCCAUACUUCUACGGAAGGCAGCAAUAGGGAAUUUUCCACAAUGGACGAAAGUCUGAUGGAGCAAUCCCGCGUGAAUGAUGAAGAUCCUACAAGAUUGUAAAGUUCUUUUAUUGGGGAAGAAAUGUAAGAAAAGGAAAUGUUUCUUAUUUGACGGUACCCUUUGAAUAAGUAUCGGCUAACUAUGUGCCAGCCGCCGCGGUAACAC
rnacentral:rRNA from 1 species